GUCUCCAACACCUCAAAGCUUGGGAAAUUUGCAUCAGCCAUCAAAACAUCUUACUAGAUCUUAAUGGGCCCCAUUCAGCAACCGUUCUUAAGAACACAUUUUGUUCCAAGGCCCACUUACAAAGUUUUUAAGGAGAUUUUUGUAUUCACCAAUGUUUUCUUAGCUGGGAUUUGUUCGAAGAGAAACCCUGGUGAAAACAUAACCUCUUUGGCGGAGCCGAUGUAAAAAAAAUCUACGUUUCCAAGCCAACACGGAGCCAGCAAGUCACGGCGCAGCAAACGGAGCAGCUGCAGCCUGACCGUCAAGCCGUGCUCUGGCAUAAGGCAGCUCACAUUCUAGACAAGUCACCACCUCAUAAACUUCCAUCCAGAAAAGAUAUUCGAAGCCAGCAAAACCAGUGUGAGGAAUUUACAUUAUUAAAAGUUUAAUUGUUUUAUUUUUUGCGAAACAACAUAUUGCAGACUGAUAUAAACAUGUCCUCUGUGGAGGACACUGCUUGU